ACACAUGCAAGUCGAGCGAGGUAGCAAUACCUAGCGGCAGACGGGUGAGUAACAUGUGGGAAUCUGCCUUUUGGUUCGGAACAACACGAGGAAACUUGUGCUAAUACCGGAUAAGCCCUUACGGAGAAAGUUUUAAUGCCAAAAGAUGAGUCCGCAUUUGAUUAGCUAGUUGGUGAGGUAAAAGCUCACCAAGGCGAUAAUCAAUAGCUGAUUUGAGAGGAUGAUCAGCCACACUGGGACUGAGACACGGACCAGACUCC
rnacentral:rRNA from 1 species